UGGCCAAGAAAUAAGAAGACGUUUAACGGAAAAUUUCAACUUUUUUUUAGUGCGAAAAAGAAAAAUAAAAAACAAAUUGAUUACAAAAAAAAAAAAAAAAAUUGAUCGGUGUGAGGGUAUAACUGCGCGAAUGUUUUUAGAUAUGCACAGCAUUCAGGUGUGCAUACGCUUCGUUAUGGCAUAAUAUACAGUUACAACAACUGUUUCUAUUUGAUGUUAAUAAGAAUUGAAAAAUGCUUGAAAUGACAAUAACUUGAUUGUAUGUGUAAAUGCAAUUUGACUUAUUAAUGAAAAAAAAAAACAAAAAGAAAAAAGAAACAACAGCAACAACAAAAAAUUGAAUUAAAAGAAAAAUGAAUCUUAUAUUAUAUAUAUAUGUAUGUAUGUACGUAUAAAUGUAACUUUGUUAACAUAUUGCUAUAAAAUCUAUUAUGUAUGAUUUAAACCAUUCACGAAUGCAUUGCCACCGAUGCAGAAAUUUCAAAACAAAAGCGUAAAUGUUUUCUGAUCUGGAAAGAACAACAAAUAAUACAAUAAUAAUUUCAUAGCAUAUUGAGAGUUGUAUUAUAUAUAUAUAUGUGUGUGAGUGUUUAUAUGCAAUAAGUGAUUCGGAAUGAGAACAA